UCAACCACAUAAGCAUAUAUAUUAUUAGCCCUCAACUAAGUAGUACUAGCUAGCUAGUGUCCAUCACAUGCAAGGCUUCACAUACACAUGAAUUCUAUCACAUUCUAAAUUCUUUGUUGUUUUGUACAUUACUCUUUCAAAAGUAAUAAUAAUAGUUACGUUAGCAUUCAUCAUCACUUAAAGAGUAUGUUCAGGUUAAGGAACGAAAAAUAAUUUAAGACCUCUCAAUGUGGCGGACUUUAUAGGUGGACGUUGAUGUAUUAUUUGUUAGAAAUGGAGAUAUGGGGCCUAGUGGACCAUGCUAUAAUAUAUUGGGCCUCCUGUGGGGAUGGUCCCACAACUAGAGUCCUAUACUCUAGAUCCACCCCUAAAGAGAAAGGGUUACACAAGCAUCACGUGCCACGUGCCACUUAACCAAUUCCAUCACCAUUCUCUGCAACGCUUUUGUUACACUUUGUAGUACACCCAACAAUAAUAACUCGGAAAAGAAGAACAAGAAGAAGAAGAGAGCAUGCUAAUUCCUAUUGAAACCAUUGAGUGAUGAGGAAUAAAAGCAAGCAUGGUUGACAAAUAGGAACUUGGGAAUGGAACAACAAAUUAAUUUUCUUUUCCCUUUUUUUUUUUAUUUUUCUUGAGGGGCCCAGGGGGCCUUUCUGAUCCAAUGUGGGCCCACAAAAGGGUAUAGAAAUAUUUACAUUGAUAUUGUGGGCCCCACUUCCCUUUAUGUGUAGCCCCCACCACAACGCAUGCCUUUGCCUUAAUGGGUGAGAACUCAGACAACACAAGUGAGAAGUGUGAAAAUUAAUUCACCAAAUCCAUUUCUUUAUUUUUAGGGCCAGCCCAUACGGUCCCAAAGGAAAAAAAACAUAAAAU